UUCUGUUUCCUGCCUUUCUAAUCUCCUGUUUCCCAGUUGUAAGUACAAAAAGAUAGGUUUGUUUUUUUGUAUUUACAUGUGUGUAGUUGCUGGAGUGCUUUGAAUUGUAUUCUUUUUGAAUAAGGCUGUUUAUUCAUAUUUCUUUUAAGCAAUUGACCCUGUAUUUGUCACCUUAAUACAGAGAGACCAUUUUUAUGUAUUUUUUUUCUUUUUACAUAAAGCUUUCUUUUUAAGA